rnacentral:misc_RNA from 1 species
UGUGCUGACCCACACACGUG